GGCCGGUUGGCCCAAUUGGUAAGGCGUCUGACUACGAAUCAGGAGAUUCUGGGUUCGAGCCCCAGGCUGGUCA
rnacentral:tRNA from 1 species